rnacentral:rRNA from 1 species
AAUCAACGCUGGCGGCGUGCCUAACACAUGCAAGUCGAACGAGAAAGGGGAGCAAUCCCUGAGUACAGUGGCGACCGGGUGAGUAACACGUGACUACCUACCCUUGAGUGGGGAGUAACCUCGGGAACCGAGGCUAAUACCGCAUAAUAUCGCAAGAUCAAAGGAGCAAUCCGCUCUUGGAGGGGGUCGCGGGCUGAUUAGCUAGUUGGUAGGGUAAUGACCUACCAAGGCGAAGANCGGUAUCCGGCCUGAGAGGGCGCACGGACACACUGGAACUGAAACACGGUCCAGACUCCUACGGGAGG